rnacentral:lncRNA from 1 species
AUGACUCUGUUCACCUAUUUCUCAAAUGAAGUCCUGUUGAUUUUUAAUGUUUGACUGCUACACAUUUUGGAUUCCAGUCCCGCCGCAGACCCUGUUGAGUGCCCUGACAUGUCUCCCCAGUCGAGCCUGGAAGUCACAAGCAGCUUCAAUGGACAGUUCUUACACACACUGAUGGCUGCCUGUCUCAACCACCUGCGUGUCUCUUCUGAGGGUUUUCACUGAUUGCAGGAGCAUAUGCUGCAGGCCAGAAAAGCUGACACCAAAAGGCAACGCUUAGUCAAUAAGAAACAGCAGAUGGUAGAGAAAUGCCCCAACUUCCCCACUCUUUGGUACAGCCAGAAGUCAGCUGUCUUCCAUCCAGAAGUGGGUCCCCACCAGAACCUGGCCACCCUGGCCCUGAAAUCUUAAACUUCCAGCUUUCAGAAAAUGUUACGCACUUUGGAUUCCAGUCCGACCAGAUGCUACUGAGUGACCUGCUCUGUCUCCCCAGUGGAGCCUGGAAGUCACCAGCGGCUUCAGUAGACAGUUCCUGUCUCAAGACUAAGACACUUCACUCCCCUAUUGAUGCUUCCUGGCAUCACUUCCCAAAUAAAGGAUUGGUAUCUAAAUACUUAUCUUGGGGUGUGCUUGGGGAAGAACCUGAGCUAAGACAGGCCCCACAGAUUAGAACUUUGUAUUUUAUGUAG